GACGAACGCUGGCGGCGUGCUUAACACAUGCAAGUCGAACGGAAAGGCCCUGCUUUUGUGGGGUGCUCGAGUGGCGAACGGGUGAGUAACACGUGAGUAACCUGCCCUUGACUUUGGGAUAACUUCAGGAAACUGGGGCUAAUACCGGAUAGGAGCUCCCGCUGCAUGGUGGGGGUUGGAAAGUUUCGGCGGUUGGGGAUGGACUCGCGGCUUAUCAGCUUGUUGGUGGGGUAGUGGCUUACCAAGGCUUUGACGGGUAGCCGGCCUGAGAGGGUGACCGGCCACAUUGGGACUGAGAUACGGCCCAGACUCCUACGUGAGGCAGCGGUGGGGAAUAUUGCACAGUGGGCGGAAGCCUGAUGCAGCAACGCCGCGUGCGGGAUGACGGCCUCCGGGUUGUAAACCGCUUUCGCCUGUGACGAAGCGUGAGUGACGGUAAUGGGUAAAGAAGCACCGGCUAACUACGUG
rnacentral:rRNA from 1 species